rnacentral:tRNA from 1 species
UAGUACUUGUACUACUGGUAGUACUUGUACUACUACGAGUAGUACUAGUAGUACUCGUACUACUACGAGUAGUACUAG